rnacentral:rRNA from 1 species
UCGGAUUGUAGUCUGCAACUCGACUACAUGAAGCCGGAAUCGCUAGUAAUCGCGGAUCAGAAUGCCGCGGUGAAUACGUUCCCGGGCCUUGUACACACCGCCCGUCACACCAUGAGAGUCGAUAACACCCGAAGCCUGUGAGCUAACCGCAAGGGGGCAGCAGUCGAAGGUGGGGUUGAUGAUUGGGGUGAAGUCGUAACAAGGUACC